rnacentral:lncRNA from 1 species
AAUCUAUUCAACACCUUACCACAAUCCAGAUGCGACUUUGAUCUUUCCUCCACCAAAUCUAACUCCAGGGCUCUGAUACCAGAUGUUGGGAUCUUCUCUUAUUGUGUCUUGAUCGUGGAACUAGCAACAAGGUUCCAAGAAAAUUAUUGACAACAGAUCUAUCAAACCCUAGAAAAUCCUAGGGCUUAGAGAAGAGAAGGAGAGC